GAUGAACGCUGGCGGCGUGCCUAAUACAUGCAAGUCGAGCGAACAGACGAGGAGCUUGCUCCUCUGACGUUAGCGGCGGACGGGUGAGUAACACGUGGAUAACCUACCUAUAAGACUGGGAUAACUUCGGGAUACCGGAGCUAAUACCGGAUAAUAUAUUGAACCGCAUGGUUCAAUAGUGAAAGACGGUUUUGCUGUCACUUAUAGAUGGAUCCGCGCCGCAUUAGCUAGUUGGUAAGGUAACGGCUUACCAAGGCAACGAUGCGUAGCCGACCUGAGAGGGUGAUCGGCCACACUGGAACUGAGACACGGUCCAGACUCCUACGGGAGGCAGCAGUAGGGAAUCUUCCGCAAAGGGCGAAAGCCUGACGGAGCAACGCCGCGUGAGUGAUGAAGGUCUUCGGAUCGUAAAACUCUGUCAUUAGGGAAGAACAAAUGUGUAAGUAACUAUGCACGUCUUGACGGUACCUAAUCAGAAAGCCACGGCUAACUACGUG
rnacentral:rRNA from 1 species